CUCCAUAGUAGCUGGGAUUACGGGCGCCUGUCACCACGCCCGGCUAAUUUUUUUGUACUUUUAGUAGAGACGGGGUUUCGCCGUAUUAACCAGGAUGGUCUCGAUCUCCUGACCUCGUGAACCACCCGCGUCGGCCUCCCAAAGUGCUGGGAUUACAGGCGUGAGCCACCGCGCCCGGCCUUCCAGGGGCAUAUUUCUAUAAGUCCCUACUUGGAUGUAGCUAAACUUCUCCCCCAGUCUUGGAAGUUAGGACGGUCUAAAUCUGUGUCAAAGCUCAGAGCUGGCAAGAGCGAGUGUUCAUUACCUGAUGGUAUAUAUCCGCGUUUUGGAUACCCCCUCCUGCGCACGCGGGGGAUAAGUCACUGAAAAACCUAGUCUCACAGGAGUGAGGCUUAGUUCAUCGCUUCCUCAUUUCUCAAGCUCUGCAUAACCUGGCUUGGACAAACCUGAUAGGUUUCCACAAACGGCCUCAGCUGUGGAUGAGGAAGGCUUCGGGGGGAAAAAAAAGAUACUGAGGGGACAAGAUCGUUUUCAUUAGUUGAGCUAUUUUCCUUGUUUUACAAAUAGUGGGGAGCAAAGAAAGGAUGGGCUUCCCCUUUGCAGCUUGUUAUCUGGUGCCCGAGAGGCCAAAGUGAGGGGCAUUUGAGAUGUCGUCCAAGAAAAGUGCGAGGCGGGUUUUCCCAUAGAAGUCCUACCACAUGAAAUGAGAAGAACACAAUUCUCAGGAACAGCCAAGUUUGCCUUUCUCUGGUCCUUCAUUGUUGAAGCCACCUGCUUCCCCCUCCUGCUGCGGGGGCGGAGGCUGUAGGCGGAAGCGCUGCGCGGCGGGAAAGACAACGGGAACUGAGAACCGCUCUCGGCGCGGCGGCGGCUGCUAUGGCCUGCCGCAGCCGCGGCCACUCGGAAAGGGCGGGACUUCCCCGCAGGGCGGGGUGGGGCGGAGCGCUCUAUCAGUCCUCCCGGUCGCCCGACUGCGCAUGGCACGUUGCGUGCUCCCCUCCCAGCAACCGGUCUGGCGGCGGCGCGGCAGUAAAACUGAGGAGGCGGAGCCAAGACGGUCGGGGCUGCUUGCUAACUCCAGGAACAGGUUUAAGUUUUUGAAACUGAAGUAGGUCUACACAGUAGGAACUCAUGUCAUUUCUUGUAAGUAAACCAGAGCGAAUCAGGACCAAUGAUGCGAGCUCAGAGUCAAUAGCAUCCUUCUCUAAACAGGAGGUCAUGAGUAGCUUUCUGCCAGAGGGAGGGUGUUACGAGCUGCUCACUGUGAUAGGCAAAGGAUUUGAGGACCUGAUGACUGUGAAUCUAGCAAGGUACAAACCAACAGGAGAGUACGUGACUGUACGGAGGAUUAACCUAGAAGCUUGUUCCAAUGAGAUGGUAACAUUCUUGCAGGGCGAGCUGCAUGUCUCCAAACUCUUCAACCAUCCCAAUAUCGUGCCAUAUCGAGCCACUUUUAUUGCAGACAAUGAGCUGUGGGUUGUCACAUCAUUCAUGGCAUACGGUUCUGCAAAAGAUCUCAUCUGUACACACUUCAUGGAUGGCAUGAAUGAGCUGGCGAUUGCUUACAUCCUGCAGGGGGUGCUGAAGGCCCUCGACUACAUCCACCACAUGGGAUAUGUACACAGGAGUGUCAAAGCCAGCCACAUCCUGAUCUCUGUGGAUGGGAAGGUCUACCUGUCUGGUUUGCGCAGCAACCUCAGCAUGAUAAGCCACGGGCAGCGGCAGCGAGUGGUCCACGAUUUUCCCAAGUACAGUGUCAAGGUUCUGCCGUGGCUCAGCCCCGAGGUCCUCCAGCAGAAUCUCCAGGGUUAUGAUGCCAAGUCUGACAUCUACAGUGUGGGAAUCACAGCCUGUGAACUGGCCAACGGCCAUGUCCCCUUUAAGGAUAUGCCUGCCACCCAGGGUGAAGACUCUACAGUAAAAGGAAUUUGAUGCCUUGUAAAGGGAGAGCGGAAACUGUGAGCCCUGCUUUCCAGCCAUGGCGAAAGCGGGUACUUUUGUGCAACCCCUCUCCUUUCACGUUGGCCUGGCUAGGGCGGAGCUGCCACGCCAGUGACCAGCGUUUCUUUGGGAAAAUUGGACUUACUGCACUUCCACCUUUUCCACUCUUCAAAUGAUCACAUUUGCAUAUUGGGAACAGUGUAUUUGUGAAGAGACUCUCAGGCCUUCCAGGGACCCCCCCGCCCGCUACAGCCCAGGUCCUGGUUCUGUCCUCCCCAGAUGCUGCUAGAGAAACUGAACGGCACAGUGCCCUGCCUGUUGGAUACCAGCACCAUCCCCGCUGAGGAGCUGACCAUGAGCCCUUCGCGCUCAGUGGCCAACUCUGGCCUGAGUGACAGCCUGACCACCAGCACCCCCCGGCCCUCCAACGGCGACUCACCCUCCCACCCCUACCACCGAACCUUCUCCCCCCACUUCCACCACUUUGUGGAGCAGUGCCUUCAGCGCAACCCGGAUGCCAGGCCCAGUGCCAGCACCCUCCUGAACCACUCUUUCUUCAAGCAGAUCAAGCGACGUGCCUCAGAGGCUUUGCCCGAAUUGCUUCGUCCUGUCACCCCCAUCACCAAUUUUGAGGGCAGCCAUUCUCAGGACCACAGUGGAAUCUUUGGCCUGGUAACAAACCUGGAAGAGCUGGAGGUGGACGAUUGGGAGUUCUGAGCCUCUGCAAACUGUGCGCAUUCUCCAGCCAGGGAUGCAGAGGCCACCCAGAGGCCCUUCCUGAGGGCCGGCCACAUUCCCGCCCUCCUGGGCAGAUUGGGUAGAAAGGACAUUCUUCCAGGAAAGUUGACUGCUGACUGAUUGGGAAAGAAAAUCCUGGAGAGACACUUCACUGCUCCAAGGCUUUUGAGACACAAGGGAAUCUCAACAACCAGGGAUCAGGAGGGUCCAAAGCCGACAUUCCCAGUCCUGUGAGCUCAGGUGACCUCCUCCGCAGAAGAGAGAUGCUGCUCUGGCCCUGGGAGCUGAAUUCCAAGCCCAGGGUUUGACUCCUUAAACCCGAGGACCGCCACCUCUUCCCAGUGCUUGCGACCAGCCUCAUUCUAUUUAACUUUGCUCUCAGAUGCCUCAGAUGCUAUAGGUCAGUGAAAGGGCAAGUAGUAAGCUGCCUGCCUCCCUUCCCUCAGACCUCUCCCUCAUAAUUCCAGAGAAGGGCAUUUCUGUCUUUUUAAGCACAGACUAAGGCUGGAACAGUCCAUCCUUAUCCCUCUUCUAGCUUGGGCCCUGACACCUAAGUCUUUCCCACGGUUUAUGUGUGUGCCUCAUUCCUUUCCCACCAAGAAUCCAUCUUAGCGCCUCCUGCCAGCUGCCCUGGUGCUUUCUCCAAGGGCCAUCAGUGUGUUGCCUAGCUUGAGGGCUUAAGUCCUUAUGCUGAGUUAGUUUCGUUGUCAGAACAAAUUAAAAUUUUCAGAGACGCUG